UGUUUGUAAACAAUACACAUUUAAACAAACACUGUAUGUAUAGCCUCAAAACAUGGCUAAAUCUAUAUAAUUCUGAUAUCGUGGAUGGUCAGUCCUUGCGUCCAUAGCUCUGUCUAUGAAUUUGAGAGUGGUUUUAGCCUACAUUUCUCCAGCCCCAUCUCUCAGCUUUUUACCAAGACAGAGACGGGUGGUAGCUUUCUUUUGUUUCAACUGCAGAUUGCCCCUUUAACUAUUUUUAGAUAUUUUUACAGCUCAAACAUGGUCAUAUAAAUAACAUCUUAUUCUAGUUCUGUGAACACUGUCUUCUUCACUCUGAUUGUGAAGUUUGCUAGUGUAACAAAAAAUCGUCCAACAGCUGCAACCAUAAAAAUAGAUUAAAUAGAACGGGCUUGGAAGUUGGAACCUCUAACCGUGGCAUAUUAUAUAUUCUAAUUCUUAAUUCUGUGGAUGCAACAAUGUAACUUUUCUGCAUGGAACGAUGUAACAAUGUCAUUUGUUUACAGUUGCUAUGGUUACACUCCUGACAACAGAAUAGUAAAUAGUAGCGGUUCAUUUUGCCAGCAAGCAAGCUAGCUAGCUCAAUUAUCUUGGUUUCACAUGAUAAAUUAUAAAUUUUACACUGCUAACUAGUAGUGCAAAUAUAAUGACUGCUUUGGAUGCUUCUGUUGAACAAAAAUCGAUUGGAAAAAGUUUGCUGGAUAACUGGGUAGAGGAGCAGGCCACUGCAGUCCUUGACAACGAGAGGCACAGAGCGCACAUCCACAAAAAUUGACAUAAGGGGAUUCUCACUGGAUCUGUCAUCCAAAGUUCAAGAUGUCACCACAAUGAAUUCUGCUUUCACCCAUCCCAAGGGUCAUGGGGUGAGACAAAGGGGCCUCAGGGGAGAUCUUCUGGAAAAAUAUCUAAUCAAGUAAAUAAGGAGCAUGACUACAAAGGCGAUCAGGCAGUUACUUUUUGGAGUGAGAAUCAUCAGCACAUACAGGAGAGCACGGACAUCUUUUCUUCAUGACACUCGUAAUCUGAGAGGCCCAGAGCUCCACAUCUACUGACAUGCAAUGCAUUCCUCCACCAAGAGAAUAAACAGGAUGGGAAUCACAAGACCACAUUUACCAUUCUUUCAUAUUCCUUCGUCUAUCAAACAAUACUGAAUACAUGAAGCCAUUAAAGAUAAUGCUGACAACACAUUCAUUACUCAUUGUGG